rnacentral:rRNA from 1 species
UACGGGGGGGGCAAGCGUUGUUCGGAAUUACUGGGCGUAAAGGGCGCGUAGGCGGUUUGCUAAGUUGGACGUGAAAACUCUGGGCUUAACCCAGAGCCUGCAUCCAAAACUGGCAAGCUAGAGUAUUGGAGGGGGAAGCGGAAUUCCUGGUGUAGCAGUGAAAUGCGCAGAUAUCAGGAGGAACACCGGUGGCGAAGGCGGGUCUCUGGGCCGAUACUGACGCUGAGGAGCGAAAGCGUGGGGAGCGAACAGG